AGGCCCCUCGCAAAGUCUCGCCCAAUUCCGAGUCCGGCGGACGAACUUCGCCCGCGCCCCCCACCAAGGCUAUAGCCCACCCGUUUUUUGGCCAUUUUUCCGCUGGGGGGUUUUGGCACCACGACCUUCGGGCACUUAUUUUUGGGCGUGGCUUUGCCCGCGGCUUAUUUUUGGUGCCCCGAGGCCCCUCGCAAAGUCUCGCUCCAUUCCGAGUCCGGCGGACGAACUUCGCCCGCGCCCCCCACCAAGGCUAUAGCCCACCCAUUUUUUGGCCAUUUUUCCGCUGGGGGGUUUUGGCACCACGACCUUCGGGCUCUUAUUUUUGGGCGCGGCUUUGCCCGCGGCUUAUUUUUGGCGCCACGAGGCCCCUCGCAAAGUCUCGCCCCAUUCCGAGUCUGGCGGACGAACUUCGCCCGCGCCCCCCACCAAGGCUGUAGCCCACCCAUUUUUUGGCCAUUUUUCCGCUGGGAGGUUUUGGCACCACGACCUUUGGGCGCUUAUUUUUGGGCGCGGCUGUGCCCGCGACUUCCCACGGGCACCCCGAGGCCCCGCGCAAAGUCUCGCCCCAUUCCGAGUCCGGCGGACGAACUUCGCCCGCGCCCCCCACCAAGGCUAUAGCCUACCCGUUUUUUGGCCAUUUUUCCGCUGGGGGGUUUUGGCACCACGACCUUCGGGCGCUUAUUUUUUGGCGCGGCUUUGCCCGUGGCUUAUUUUUGGUGCCCCGAGGCCCCUCGCAAAGUCUCGCCCCAUUCCGAGUCCGGCGGACGAACUUCGCCCGCGCCCCCCACCAAGGCUAUAGCCCACCCAUUUUUUGGCCAUUUUUCCGCUGGGGGGUUUUGGCACCACGACCUUCGGGCUCUUAUUUUUGGGCGCGGCUUUGCCCGCGGCUUAUUUUUGGCGCCACGAGGCCCCUCGCAAAGUCUCGCCCCAUUCCGAGUCUGGCGGACGAACUUCGCCCGCGCCCCCCACCAAGGCUAUAGCCCACCCAUUUUUUGGCCAUUUUUCCGCUGGGAGGUUUUGGCACCACGACUUUCGGGCGCUUAUUUUUGGGCGCGGCUGUGCCCGCGACUUCUCACGGGCACCCCGAGGCCCCUCGCAAAGUCUCGCCCCAUUCCGAGUCCGGCGGACGAACUUCGCCCGCGCCCCCCACCAAGGCUAUAGCCCACCCGUUUUUUGGCCAUUUUUCCGCUGGGGGGUUUUGGCACCACGACCUUCGGGCACUUAUUUUUGGGCGUGGCUUUGCCCGCGGCUUAUUUUUGGCGCCCCGAGGCCCCUCGCAAAGUCUCGCUCCAUUCCGAGUCCGGCGGACGAACUUCGCCCGCGCCCCCCACCAAGGCUAUAGCCCACCCAUUUUUCCGUGGGAGGGUUUAAGCACCACGACUUCGGGGCGAUUAUUUUUGGGCGUGGCUGUGCCCGCGACUUCCCGCGGGCACCCCGAGGCCCCUCGCAAAGUCUCGCCCAAUUCCGAGUCCGGCGGACGAACUUCGCCCGCGCCCCCCACCAAGGCUAUAGCCCACCCGUUUUUUGGCCAUUUUUCCGCUGGGGGGUUUUGGCACCACGACCUUCGGGCACUUAUUUUUGGGCGUGGCUUUGCCCGCGGCUUAUUUUUGGCGCCCCGAGGCCCCUCGCAAAGUCUCGCUCCAUUCCGAGUCCGGCGGACGAACUUCGCCCGCGCCCCCCACCAAGGCUAUAGCCCACCCGUUUUUUGGCCAUUUUUCCGCUGGGGGGUUUUGGCCCCACGACCUUCGGGCGCUUAUUUUUGGGCGCGGCUGUGCCCGCGACUUCCCGCGGGCACCCCGAGGCCCCUCGCAAAGUCUCGCCCAAUUCCGAGUCCGGCGGACGAACUUCGCCCGCGCCCCCCACCAAGGCUAUAGCCCACCCGUUUUUUGGCCAUUUUUCCGCUGGGGGGUUUUGGCACCACGACCUUCGGGCGCUUAUUCUUCGGCGCGGCUGUGCCCGCGACUUCCCGCGGGCACCCCGAGGCCCCUCGCAAAGUCUCGCCCCAUUCCGAGUCCGGCGGACGAACUUCGCCCGCGCCCCCCACCAAGGCUAUAGCCCACCCGUUUUUUGGCCAUUUUUACGCUGGGGGGUUUUGGCACCACGACCUUCGGGCGCUUAUUUU
rnacentral:lncRNA from 1 species